UAUAGGUUUGGUCCCAGCCUUUCUAUUAGUUGUUAGCAAAACUACACAUGCAAGUAUCCGCACCCCAGUGAGAAUGCCCUAUGAACUCGCCAUAAGCGAUAAAAAGGAGCAGGUAUCAAGCACACCUACAGGUAGCUCAUAACACCUUGCUUAGCCACACCCCCACGGGAAACAGCAGUGAUAAGAAUUAAGCAAUAAACGAAAGUUUGACUAAGUUAUGCUUUCUAGGGUUGGUAAAUUUCGUGCCAGCCACCGCGGCCAUACGAUUAACCCUAAUUAAUAGACUUACGGCGUAAAAUGUGUUUAAGAGACUAUAUUCUACAUUAAAGUCAAACCCUGACUACGCUGUAAAAAGCCCCAGUCACUGUAAGACCUGCCACGAAGGUGACUUUAAUAUGUCUGAACACACGACAGCUAAGACCCAAACUGGGAUUAGAUACCCCACUAUGCUUAGCCCUAAACUUAGAGAAUUUAACACAACAAAAUCCUUCGCCAGAGAACUACUAGCCAAAGCUUAAAACUCAAAGGACUUGGCGGUGCUUUACAUCCCUCUAGAGGAGCCUGUUCUAUAAUCGAUAAACCCCGAUAAACCCCACCAACCCUUGCCAAUUCAGCCUAUAUACCGCCAUCUUCAGCAAACCCUAAAAAGGAACCAUAGUAAGCUCAAUCAUAUCGCAUAAAAACGUUAGGUCAAGGUGUAGCCAAUGGGUUGGAAAGAAAUGGGCUACAUUUCCUAUGCAUAGGACACCCUUAUACCCAAAACGAAAGUUCUUAUGAAAUUAAGAACCAAAGGUGGAUUUAGCAGUAAACUAGGAAUAGAGUGCCUAGUUGAAUGAGGCCAUGAAGCACGCACACACCGCCCGUCACCCUCCUCAAAUACCAACGGUGGAUCCCAAACAUAUUAACACCCACCACAAGUACUAGAGGAGAUAAGUCGUAACAAGGUAAGCGUACUGGAAAGUGUGCUUGGAUAACC
rnacentral:ncRNA from 1 species